CUCCCAUAUGACUACCAUUAUUACCCUACAGGUCACCAUACACCCUCCCAUAUGACUACCAUUAUUACCCUACAGGUCACCAUACACUUAACCACCCAUACGACUACCAUUAUUACCCUACAGGUCACCAUACACCCUCCCAUAUGACUACCAUUAUAUCCCUACAGGUCACCAUACACCCUCCCAUAUGACUACCAUUAUUACCCUACAGGUCACCAUACACCCUCCCAUAUGACUACCAUUAUUACCCUACAGGUCACCAUACACCCUCCCAUAUGACUACCAUUAUUACCCUACAGGUCACCAUACACCCUCCCAUAUGACUACCAUUAUUACCCUACAGGUCACCAUACACCCUCCCAUAUGACUACCAUUAUUACCCUACAGGUCACCAUACACCCUCCCAUAUGACUACCAUUAUAUCCCUACA